CCUCUCACAACAAUCUUCGUAACCCCCGGAAAAAUCUCCACCGUCUGCGCCCUCACAUCCUGCCCGAAAUCAUCAUCAGUCACGACAAUAAACCGCAGACAAUCCGAGGUUUCGUGGACCGAAACCUCGGCGUCCGAGUGGAACGGGAGUUCCAGCACUUUCUCGAAGAUGUGGGGGAGUCUACGGAGCUUCUUGGUUGACAAAUUCGAUGGGAUGCUGUAACGCAAUGAAAUGUUGCGUUUCUUGGGUAAUGGGUGGAUUU
rnacentral:lncRNA from 1 species